rnacentral:rRNA from 1 species
AGUAGGGAAUAUUGGUCAAUGGAUGGAAGUCUGAACCAGCCAUGCCGCGUGCAGGAAGAAGGCCUUAUGGGUUGUAAACUGCUUUUGCCAGGGGAUAAAAUAGCUGUGCGCAGCGAAUUGCAGGUACCUGGUGAAUAAGCCACGGCUAACUACGUGCCAGCAGCCGCGGUAAUACGUAGGUGGCAAGCGUUGUCCGGAUUUAUUGGGUUUAAAGGGUGCGUAGGCGGCCCUGUAAGUCAGUGGUGAAAUACUCCAGCUUAACUGGAGGGGUGCCAUUGAUACUGCAGGGCUUGAGUGGAGUAGAAGUAGGCGGAAUUGACGGUGUAGCGGUGAAAUGCUUAGAUAUCGUCAAGAACACCGAUAGUGAAGACAGCUUACUAUGCUUCAACUGACGCUGAGGCACGAAAGUGUGGGGAUCAAA